rnacentral:rRNA from 1 species
UUCAGAGGUCCCGAGCGUUGUUCGGAUUUACUGGGCGUAAAGGGAGCGUAGGCGGUUCGGUAUGUCGAAUGUGAAAGCCCACAACUCAACUGUGGAAAUGCAUUCGAAACUGCCGGGCUAGAGUACUGGAGAGGAGAGCGGAAUUCUUGGUGUAGCGGUGAAAUGCGUAGAUAUCAAGAGGAACACCGGUGGCGAAGGCGGCUCUCUGGACAGAUACUGACGCUGAGGCUCUAAAGUUAGGGGAGCAAACAGGAUUAGAUACCGGA